UGUAUUCACUACUGUAAGUUGCUCUGGAUAAGAGCGUCUGCUAAAAUGUGUAAA
rfam:Salmo salar isolate Sally breed double haploid chromosome ssa28, whole genome shotgun sequence.